CCCCCCAGCACAUUUUGAUUUUACUAGCUUUUGGUCUGUUGUACUACAGAUCUUACUGUUCUGUGGUGUUGAUGCUCACAGCAUAUAGGAAAGACCUGUUUAACUCUAUGCAUUUCUCUAGCAACCUUCCUGUGCAACUAAAUUUAUUCCACCUGAAGAAUGUUCAGCUUUCUUCCAGGACUCCUGAAACACAUAAUAAGCCACCAGGAACUCCAGCCUCCUGUUAAAUAAGAACUUUUUGAGCUCCCUCUGACAAAGCACAUGCUUCAGUCCUGCAGGAGAAAUGAGGGAAAUGUGAGGGUUUUAUCCACUUGAGUGCAAAGGGAGAGAAGGGUUAGCAAAAUAUUCUUGUCCUUGAAGAAAACUAAACUCAUGAGACAUUCAACAGAUAGAAUCAAUAGGGGCCAGAAGGAGAAGAGGAAAAUAUAUCUUCUUGACACAUGCAGGGCCCGAUAAAUCUGAUUUACUUUUGAAGUCAGAAGUUGAUACCCAAAUAAGAAUUUGAUUCUCAAAGAAACUUGAAAGACUUGUCUGGAGAAUGAAUGCUAAGUUACAAAGGAUUAGAUGUUACUGUAUGAUUGCUUCUGAAACUAAGAAGCAGCAUGAGAUUGAGUUUCCUGAUGCUCAAAGAAAUUGCAAGUAUUUGCAGCUUCAUCUGCUCUGAGCUCUGUGGUCCUUGGCCUCUGGCUUUGAAGAAAUAAAACCCGUUUUUUCUAGGUGGUCUAUAACACUGCAACAAUGAUGCAACAAAUGAUGGCUCCAAGAUGAAACAUAGUACAUGAAACCGAUUUUCUCUGUAGACACAAACUUAUUUUUCUCAGAGUUUGGCCAAGGAGUUCACAGACAGUGCCUGUCAAUGCAGAGAGACACUGCCAUUGCAGCCUGGGAGUGCAGCCAGCAGACUUGGGAACAUCUGCUAGCUGUAACUGUAGUGAGACACAUGGCCAUGGAGACGUCUGUAUGGGGGAAGGCGGAGCUCUUGGGGAAGAGAGCUAGCAGAUGUCAGGUCUGAUAAGAGCAGUGCUCCAACAGAGUACAGAUAAUUAAAAAAAACAAGCUAGAGAAGGCUCAGAAGUCCCUGCUAGGUGGUUUUCACAAGAAUGUGGAAGUUUCCAUACAUGCUAAGGAAACACUUUCAACUUGGUUACUCAUUCACUUCUGCUUGUCAAGUGGCAACGGUCUGAAUUUAAGGUGUUUCUACUACACUCCGGGAACAGAGGCAGGAGCAAUAACAGGUAUGAGCACAGUCUAAUUGCAGUUUGGGGGCAGCAUGAAGACCUGUUACUAUGGAGCAGCAAGGGUUGAAUCUGGGCUUCAGCAGAGUCAGUCUGCAGAGCUUUGUCACUGACUCACUGGAUUGAGAUGUGGAUCACAGAUUUGUACAGAUUUCUGAGCUGCACAGGCAAGACCUUCCAGAGCACUGGGACAGCAACUGAACAUGACAGUGGGCCCUGAGUGAAGUCAGUGGCCUGGGAAGCUUGGGCAUUAUUGUUGUUUGUGGAACCUGAUGCUCUCAGCCUUUACCGAUAUUCCACCACUUACAAGGAAAGCUAGGAAAAACAGAGCAUGGACUUCCAUGGACACAAGCAAGCAGAGAGACAAGGACACCUUGGUGUGUAGAGGAAGAACCUGUAGCUUGCUCAGGCACCACUCUGCAGCUCAGUGCUAUCCACAGAGCCAGGCCAGAAACACACAGAGGCCAAAGAAAUCUCUCUGUGGUAUGUGCUGCACUGCGCACAGUGAGCAGCUGACCCACCGAGGCCAACCUGACAUAAACCACAGCAAUAACCUCCAGAAGAAAAGUACUCUAGAAGGGCAGGGCAUUUCUGGGAUGAACCUCCUGGCCUCCAUUUUACUCUUUUCUAAAGGUGUGGGACACCAGAGUUGGUGGUGCCAGUGACAGAAGUUACCGUGAAUCAGUAAGAAUAGUGGCGUUUGACUUCAGUGACAUGCUUGUCUCACGAAACAGAUGUCACCGAGUGUGGUCUAACACUUAAACUGAGUGACAUCUGGGGUGAGGCGGGGGCCUCGCAGCCCUGUGUUGCUUCAGUAAAAGCCCGAAGGACCCCUGUACAUCUGUACUUAAUCCCCCACCCCAUGGUGAACUGUUUGGCCCCACUGACCUUCCAGGACUGACAAUCCUUGCUAAGGGCCAAUCGGCACACAAUAAUUGACUUCGUUCCACCUUGCCACGAGUACAAAUCUGGUAUUUAGAAUUUUGAGGGCAAGAACUCUAACUACCAGGCGGGUCAAUGGGCCUGGACCUCUCUCCUUCCCAAGCAGGGACACCUCUUUGGUAAGACUCACACCUCCAACUACAUUGGAUGUUACCCAGGAAAGUACUGUUAACAAGAGCGCUGAACUUUUCACAUGAGCUCGAUUUUCACACCAGCUGGUCUGCCCUGAAGGAGACAUCUGCUGACACAGGAGCUCCCAGUCUAGACCAACAGUGCUGUCUUAGAAGCGAAGCCUGUGAUCCCAGCCAAGUCACAAAGAAAGCUGUCUGUCACACACAACGUUCUUGCUUCAGGCAUGACAGCCCCAUCAUUUCAUGGGGAGUGGAUGGUGCAGGAGGUCAAAAUCAUGAUGGAUCAAUUAAUCCCUAAGGUAACUAGAUCCAGGCCCAGGAAAUGCCUUGGAAACUAGGAUAAAAAUGAGACUUAAACUGGCAAAACCUAGUAAUUGAACCUGUGGUGGUCUGCUCAUGUGGCAGCAAGAUUGCAUUCAGAUACGUGAGACCUAACUGUUUUGGUGGCUUUUACAGUUUUUAUGUUAUUCUGUCUUCACACACGUGAAGGCAGAAACCAGUUCAAGCAACAUGAAACAGUGCAUAAGGAGAACACAAGCCAAGAAAGAAAAGGAAGAGGUACCUUUGGGGCAAGGCAUUAGCUGUGUUUUUCUAGCUGGGAAAGUGGAAAAACUGGAAGCUGCAGAUUUCAGACGAGCCUGAUGUACCUAUUUCAUUGGGCAAAAUCCACCCCUGUCCAUCCCACACCACAGCAGGUGAGUUUUACCAUACAGGAGCAAAAAGAUUAAAGAGCUUUGGAAAAUAAGGCAGAUAAUGGAAGAAAAUCUCCCUCUGUAAUAACAAAAUGUUUAGCCUAUGAGAGAGAGCCAGGCUCCUACCAAAUACUGAGAACAGGGCGAUAAGCAGGCAGUGCUAAAGAACACAAAACACGAGCAAUACUUUGCCUGGCUAAGCACAAAGGGAGACGGGACAGAUGCGCACAGGCUCGUAUUUCCCCAGGGAGAGAGAAGGAGCAUCAUCUCCUACAUUGUGCCAGAGUAAGGAACCAAUUAACGAGGAUGUCUGAAGAGAGUAUUUCCAGAACCAGAUAGGAGCCAUCCCAGAUUUUGCAAAGAGAUGAAAGAACCAUAGUGGAAUGAUGUGGAAUCACUUUAAAUACAAAAGGACUAGAAGACAAAUUAUUUCCUAGAUUUAAAAAAAUAAUAUAUAUAUUUAAAAGAAUUCUAACGGGAAUGGACUGCAGAGACAUUAGAAGUGACCUCACAGUUAAGGCUGCUUUGAGGACUGUACUUCAGACCAACAUUCUUGUAAGACAGUUUAACAAAGAUCACAUUCAGGCCUUGGAUUCGGCACAGUAACUCUUCAUGGGAUGACUGGUUUGCCUCUAAAAAAUGUCAAGAAAAACAUGCAGCAAUUUUUGCCUAGGGUUAUACUCAUAAAGUCUUUAGGGGCAGAGUCCUUUUGUGAUGAGUACACAGUGCAUGGGACAGUGGAUGCUGUCUCUAGACUUAAUACAAGUAAACCAUACUAGAAAACACUGCCUUUUUAAUUUUUGCUUUGCUUUCUUCACAUUUAAACAGCUAACAUGGAGUGAUUCAGCUUUUUGGCUAUGGGGACUAGAUAAUAAUAUACAAUUUAAACAGCCAGGAGCUGGGGAAGAAAGCUGCUAUUAUGCAGUGGCAGCCUGUGCUGGACAACCUGGAACUAACGUAACACGUGGCCAUCUUUUGGACACCAGGUAAGCUGGGUAUCCGAGUCACUGCUAUUAUCUAAGAAUUCUAAUUCUGUCUCUGUAAAGGACUCACAGGAGACCUCAGCAACAUCAGCUACGCAUCUGUGAUGUGAACCUGGAGACGGACCUAUCUGGGAAGAUAAAAGGGUUGAGGGGGGUACCAGGGAAGCGUGCUUUGGAAGAAAUUGAAAAUGCAACAUAUUACCAGUGUCAAAGAAAGCUGCAGUAGCAAGACAUCUUGAAAUAUGUGAAACAUCACAAAAUUUGCAUUUCACCAUGAAAUUUUUCAAGUUUGACCUUAGAGAAUCCUUCUGUGAUAUCUUUAAUAAUAGCCACUGGAAUAUUUUGAAGUCAAGAAAGCAGUACUUCAACCACUCAUCACCACAACAUCAGAGUAUCCAGAUGCCUUCUAGUGCUAGAAGGAGAAAAAGAACUAAGAGGCGCCUUAGAGAGGAACCACAUGUUCACUGCAGUGCUCCUCACCAAGUCUCCUUCCCAGCGCCACCACCACAGCUCAUUGCACACCCAUGCUGUGCAAUGGCUCAACCUCCUCCUACCCAAGACUCUGUAAAAAAUGCAGAAACACAGCUACCACCAGAAACCCGGUAAUUUUACAUUAAAGAUCCGCAAGCUCAUAUGUCUGCCUUAACAUCAGAAUAACAGUCUAACAGCAAUAAAUAGCAAUGCCGCUCUGA